GGAGCUUCUUAGGUGAUGCACCCUGGAAUCAGGCUCCCUCCUCUCUGGUUCCAGGUGCAUCACCCAAGAAUCGCA
rfam:Myotis brandtii contig313946, whole genome shotgun sequence.